ensembl:lncRNA
UUUCUUUCUUUCUGUCCUCCCCUCUUUUAUCUUCCCCUCUCUCCUACUUUCACCUCUCUCGCUCGGCAGGAGCAACAGCCGAUGUCAAAGGUCGCUUGGCCUCGCUGACCACAACAAGCAAGUUAAUCUACCCCGGCGCGGACUCCAGCUUGUCCAAGAAAACACUCUAGUCCUUUUUUCCCCCCUCUCUCUCUCUCUCUCUCUCUCUCCCUCUCUAACUACGUGUCUCCCUCUCUCCCUCUCCCCCUCUCCCUCUCCUCUCUCCUCAGCGCUUUAAUUGCUUUGCGGAGUGUCAUAGCCGGGAAGCAGGGGGAGAGGUGCUGCACACACUUGCACCGGCUGCACCCAGCCAAAAGGCAGCACGUUCACUGGGCUCAGUGUAAACACGGGAUUAGAGCGAGACACGGAGCGCCCAGACCUUCCUGCCCUCUUUUUCCCUCGUUAGGACUUCUUCACACAACUUUGACUCCAUCACGUGAAACAAGAGGACACUGACACAGAGCUGGAGGAAGGGGAAAAAAAAGAGGAAAAAAAAAAAAACCCAGACAGGACCCUGAAAGAAGCUAUCACUGGCCGUCGGAGAGUAGCAGGUUAGUCAAAAUGUUAGCAAAAGGAGGCGAGCGGAAAUGAACGACGCAAAGAAAGUGUGUUUUGUUGUUUGCUUUUUGUAAUGAGGACGACAGCCGCGGUGAGGAUAAAGUCACUUGGUGUCUGGGUUUCUGUCGAAAGUUGUAAACAAAUGCAGCGGCACACAAGCACAAGCAGCAGUGUGGACAGACAUCACGUCAGGGCUUAUCUAACAACGCUGGGCUGAAUGGACACUGAGGAAUACUGAUGAAAAAACAAAGAACAAAAGUGACAAGAGCGACAGAGGGGCCACUCACCCCAGCACAGUGACACGACUCAAACAAAAACAACACACUCAUUAAAAAGCUGCUGAAUAUCAAUGUGAAGAAUGGGAGCUUAAAAGAAGAAAAAAACAUACACAUACAAACACACACACACACACACACACACACACACACACACACACACGCAGACACACCAACUCAUAAAGAUUUUUGUGUUCGGCUUUUGUGUUCAGUAAAAAUCUACUGGGAGUAAAGUUUUUUUUUUGUUUAAAAUACCCAAAAAAGGGGGAAGGAAGAACGAAGGAAGGAGAAAAAAAAGCCUUUGGUCAGUGCCAACUUACCAUCCACCAUGUCCUGGCUGAGAUGUCGUAGCAAAGCUGCCAUUUGAUGGAGCCCUCCGUGGUUUUGCUUGCCAUUAUGCUGUCAGCGAGCUUCAUCUGAUGCUAGUGCACUCACCGGAGAUAAGACACCUAAUUGAGAAAACAUUUGCACUGGCAUGUUGGGCAACAUGUAGCCCGCUCCAUACCAUAUGGAAUCAUGGGUAAAAAAAAAAAAAAAGCCUUGACAAUGAACCAAUCUGGAGCAGCCCCUGUGGCAAGAUCGUUCUGGACAGAGAUGGAGGCUGGAGACAACGCUCAGGAUGAGAAAGACCCCAUCAUGGCAUCAUAAUCAAGCACAUCUAAACUCUAUUUUCUCUUCAUAGUUUCAGUCCCAGUAAGUCGUAAAAUACUUUUUUUUUUGCCUCUAAGUGGAAUACGGGAAGAGGGUUUUAAGGUGACAAGUGCAUGAAAAGUUUUAUGCAGAAAUUCUGUCUUAAUUCUUUUUUUAGUAUUUAUCUUUCAAAAAAUAAAUUCAUUUAAAAAAUUACAAUUUACUCCACUAAUUUUAGAGAGGUCCAAGCUCUCUGUGAAUUGUACUGAACAGCCAUGCAGAAAGUGAGUAGAUGAGAUACUAAUACUCAAUACUGAGUGAGUUUUAGUCAAGUAUCUCUCCCAUCAUUUCAAAUGAUAAUUUAGCAGUAGGUGUGAUAUGACCACUGUGAGAGAUUUACAAGUAAAUCAGCUAAAGUAAAAGGAAGAAUGAACACACACUCUUCCUCCUCCUCCUCUCCCUCUCCCUCUCCAUGGUUGGGUUUGCUCCGAGACGGAAUACCUGAGCAGUCAGGGGAGAGCUGCUGUGACCAUCAAACAGUCCCCCCUUUGUCGACGUUACUCAGGAAUUUGAUUCGGUAUCCAGAUAUCCAAAAGGUAGGAGGAGAGAGAGAGGGAGCGAGGGAACAGGUAUGGCCGGUAUGACAUCUACACUAAAUCCAAAUGCAAAGACGGACAUCCAUGCUCCAGUUGACCCAGUUUUAUUUCUCCGCUAAUUUAGCCUGGUCCAGUCGCUUGUUGUGCAGGUUUUUAAAAAGUUUCAUGCUUCAUCUUAAGAGAUCAUUAUAAAGGCUACAAUUUGAAACAAAGUCAAACUAUAUUAAAAGAGUUGUUUACACCCAGAUUGAUUUGGUGUAUUUACAGUGCUUUAUAGAUCACAGAAUAUGAUAGACAAUAAAGUUGAGAGAAAUAAAUGUUUUUUUUUAAUUAUUUGUAAAUUAUACUUUUGGGCUUUUAAAAAAAACUUUCAAAAUAUUGGACAGUGACAAUAAUUGUAUUCAAUAUCACUUAAGUGGCAUUCAUUUAAUAUUUUUCCAUAGCAGUAAUGCCAUUUAACUUAUGUUGCAAAAUAUAUUUCAAACCCAAAUUAAUAUUAAAUUAUCAAAUUAUUAUUAAAUUAUUUUCUCGUUCUUUCUUUUCCGUUCCCUUCUCUUCCAGUCAGAAUCUACUGGUCCAUUUGACAGGUAUCCUUUAACCAAAUUCAUCUACUGGUCCAUUUGACAGGAUUCCUUUAACCAAAUUCAUCUACUGGUCCGUUUGACAGGAUUCCUUUAACCAAAUUCAUCUACUGGUCCAUUUGACAGGUUUCCUUUAACCAAAUGUAAAACCUCCAAACACUGAUGGCAAAAUUGACAAAUUCAUAUAAUGUCAGGAAACUUUUAAAAUGGCUAAAAUGAGCAAGCUUGACAAGCAAACUCCUAUGUCCGUAUUUGGUGGUGUCAGACCGUGUACUGCCCGUCUCCUGCGGGGGGAAGAGUCGUGGUUGGACACCUGAGAUGGAGGGGAAGACUACCACACCACGGUGAAAAUGAUUGCGGGACGCAGAUCUUUGGAACACAGUUCACAUGAACAUUGUGUAGUUGUACUUAGCAGAGCUGCUGUAGGAGGUCGUAGGGGUGCCGUUUACUGUACACACACCUCACGGGUCAGUGGAGGCCAGACUAACCUCUGCCACACGGACACAUGCUAACACACACACUCUUAACAGCACCGCUCUUUCUCUGUCUUUCACUCGGCAAAAAUGAGAAAAGCAGAGAGGUCAAGUACAGACAGUAAAAAUACUUACGAAUUCUGGGUUCUGUAUUUUAGAGUUGGUAGUUUGCUUUGUCUGAGAAUACUGAUUAAGGGUAUGACACAGAUUUAAAUUUUAAAUGGUAAGUUAACAAGCAAAGAAUUUUAACUUGUAUUACUCUCAACAUCUAAUGAAUGAAAAUGUGUUUUUUUUUCUAUAUGUAUUUGCAGGUUUGAUUUACUUAAAUGAAGGGAGCCUGCUUGCCUGACAGUCAACUGAAUUUUAAUUCCACUGUACCUUUUCUUGGAGUGUCCAGUAGAAGGCAGUGUUGCAUCGAUUUCAGGUUUUCCCCCAUUUCCUUCUCCUCACCUGAGGUUGUCAGAUGUCACUGUUUAGGAGUGUAGAAAGACAGGUACAUUACAUAGCUUCAACAGAAUGCAGCCUUUACAGAACAAACCUUGUCCCUUGGAUCUUUCUGGAAUUUUUUUUGACAUUCUAUGCGUUAUGGCAAUAUCUGAAUCCAUGGGAUAGCUAUCAUUGACCCCUCUUUGUCCCUUGCUCGCAAAACAAUCCAAGAUAAAUGCUACAAGAGAGGUAGUGUCCUGAAAAAAGACCAAAAAAAACAAUGAAUUCAGACAGAAAAUAUUAUUGCCAUUUGUGAUGAUAAUGAUUGUGAAAUCAUCAGUUCAAUCAGAUUAAUGUAGUGGUGGGUAGAUCAAGUCAGUGAACUGAAUAUCAAAGGAUGAUCAAUAUUUGGAAUCAUAUUUGAAGCGGGCAAUCACAUGGAAACUUUAAAAUGAAAUUAUUUUCAUUGUUCUUAUUUAAUGUUAUUUUCAUUGUUCUUAUUUAAGUCUACAAAUGAAACAGCAAAAGAAUGAAACACUAUUCCACUCUAUUCCAAGCUUUUUCUGUUUUCCCUUGGCUAAUGAGUGUCAGCAAGGCUGAAUUCUCGAGGCGCGCACCUCGUUUGUGAAACUCUGUCACUUCAUGCGCUUCUGCUUCCCGCUUCCCGGUGUCUCUCAGCGGGGACCACAGGGGCUGGCAAACACACACACUCACACAUUUUUUCAAUUCCUGCAGCAAUCCAAUAACUCACCAAAAUGUGUGGAGUCACUGGAAUCGCUUCCCUUUUGCUAACCAUAAUUCAGAAUACUGAAAAAAAACAUGAUUGUGGACAUCUGGUUCCUUUUCUGGCUUCAGUGAAACAGCUCUAGCCCUGGCAGAGAGCCCCGGUGCCACCCUCCAUGGCUCCGGCUGACAGAUGCAGAUCACAUCCACCACUAAAGAGGAGGGCCACUUCAGAGAACAAGAGAAUACAUUUACACACCACCAGUUUGACAAAAAGAGAUAUGUGAGGAUGAUGAUGGUGAUGAUGAUGAUAAUGAUAUGUUCUUGAUGUGAUGAAUAGAAUGCAAUGAUGCAAGGUAAAAGCAGACAUGGAAACAAUAUAUAGCCAUCCCCAAAACAGAUUUUUUGUUUUGUUCUGGGUUAUCUAACACCUGAAAAAACAACGUGUUUUUACAAUGGUUUAACUACAGACUACAGACUUUGGAUUUUGAUGUGUCCAUGCACGUUGUGGCAAACUGCGCUAAAAAAUAUCAGCAAAUAUCUGCAUCUGAUUUGGACCACUAACAUCAAAUCUGUAAAGCAAAACACUUUGAUUUACAAGUGAAAUUGCAUUCUGUGGUGUUUGGGUGUUCAGACAUUCUCCAACUGCAUACCUUCAUCUCACUGAGGUCUUCAGCUGGAAACUUCUUCCUGCUUUCCUGGCUAUCAAGUCCGAACGGACUUGCAGAACAUAAAAGGUACCAGGGGAAGCACGACACUCACGAACGCACAAAGUCAGGAAGUCCUCUACUAAACAAGGGUGUUUGUAUUCAUGCCUUUCUCCCUCUCUGAUUGUUGACAGAUGCUUUUACGUUCCAGGUUGUUAAACGGCAGAGGAGGGGAAGGCAUGGCACAAAACAAAUAUUUUUUCCUCAAUUGUAGUCAUGUUAGCAUACAUAUUAUAUUCAGCAUAGCGUAAACACUUCCUUUGAAGUCCCUGUGCUUUGGCCACAAAGUGGUCAUGGAGAUAUCAAAGCUUUCAGGGGGGAAGUCAUAGGACUGAGCAUGUUGGUUGACCGACCAUGCACCGACGGAGAGAGGACUGACGGGAACCAGAGUGUGAUGCAGUGGCCUUGGUCUCCCGCUCUCCCCUCCUCUUGAAAAUGAGCCUGAUCUGUUGUUGACUUUCCAUUUGACUGCAGUCUCUGGUCAAACGAGUUACAGAGCUGAGACACUAAUAGGGACCUGAUGCGCAAGUGUUCCACCGAUUAGAACCACACUGCAGCCGGUGCCAGGCCAGGCCAGGCCAGGCCUCCACUCUCCUGGGCACGAAAGCCAGCCGUACGCCUCCACUCUCCUGGGCACGAAAGCCAGCCGUACGCCUC